UACAGAGGCCCCAAGCGUUACUGAGAAUCACUGGGUUUAAAGGGUGCGUAGGUGGCGCGUUAAGUCCGUUGUGAAAUCCCUGGGCUCAACCCAGGAAUUGCUUCGGAUACUGGCGUGCUUGAGGCUAGUAGGGGUCACUGGAACUGACGGUGGAGCGGUGAAAUGCGUAGAUAUCGUCAGGAACGCCGAUGGUGAAGACAGGUGACUGGGCUAGUUCUGACACUGAGGCACGAAAGCGUGGGGAGCGAACGGG
rnacentral:rRNA from 1 species